rnacentral:rRNA from 1 species
CCUACGGGGGGCAGCAGUGGGGAAUAUUGCGCAAUGGGCGAAAGCCUGACGCAGCGACGCCGCGUGAGGGAUGAAGGUCUUCGGAUCGUAAAACUCUGUCAGCAGGGAAGAACGGUCACUGUGCUAAUCAGCUGUGAAUUGACGUUACCUGCAAAGGAAGCACCGGCUAACUCCGUGCCAGCAGCCGCUGUAAUACGGAGGAUUCAAGCGUUAUCCGGAUUUAUUGGGUUUAAAGGGGGGGGAGGCGGUUGGUUAAGUUAGAGGUGAAAGCCCGAGGCUCAACUCCGGAGUUGCCUCGGAUACUGUCAGGCUAGAGAGUAGGAGAGGUAGGCGGAAUGUAUGGUGUAGCGGUGAAAUGCGUAGAGAUAAUGCAGAACACCGAUUGCGAAGGCAGCUUACCAGGCUACUUCUGACGUUGAGGCACGAAAGCGUGGGUAGCAAACAGGAUUAGAUACCCUUGUAGUC